GCUGGGACUGUGGGUCAGUGGUAGAGCACUCACCUAGCAUGUGUGAGGUGCUGGGUUUGAACCUCAGCACAGCA
rnacentral:tRNA from 1 species